UGGGGAAUUUUGGACAAUGGGCGCAAGCCUGAUCCAGCCAUGCCGCGUGUCUGAAGAAGGCCUUCGGGUUGUAAAGGACUUUUGUCAGGGAAGAAAAGGGCGGGGUUAAUACCCCUGUCUGAUGACGGUACCUGAAGAAUAAGCACCGGCUAACUACGUGCCAGCAGCCGCGGUAAUACGUAGGGUGCGAGCGUUAAUCGGAAUUACUGGGCGUAAAGCGGGCGCAGACGGUUACUUAAGCAGGAUGUGAAAUCCCCGGGCUCAACCUGGGAACUGCGUUCUGAACUGGGUGACUAGAGUGUGUCAGAGGGAGGUAGAAUUCCACGUGUAGCAGUGAAAUGCGUAGAGAUGUGGAGGAAUACCGAUGGCGAAGGCAGCCUCCUGGGAUAACACUGACGUUCAUGUCCGAAAGCGUGGGUAGCAAACA
rnacentral:rRNA from 1 species